UCGCACGAGAACGCUCCGGCUUUGCCGGGGCAAGUACAGUGGCGGACGGGUGCGUAUCGCGUAGAUAACCUGCCCUUAGGCGCGGGACAAUCACGGGAAACCGUGGCUAAUACCGCACGUCGUCUGGGCCCCGCAUGGGGACCAGAUGAAAGCUUGGGGUUACCCAGGCGCCUUGGGAUGGGUCUGCGUUGGAUUAGCUUGUUGGUGAGGCAACGGCUCACCAAGGCAACGAUCCAUAGCUGGUCUGAGAGGACGAUCAGCCACACUGGGACUGAGACACGGCCCAGACUCCUACGGGAGGCAGCAGUGGGGAAUCUUGCACAAUGGGGUCACCCCUGAUGCAGCCAUGCCGCGUGGAGGAAGACACCCCUAUGGGGCGUAAACUCCUUUUCUGAAUGAAGAAACCCCUGUAGGUUCAGGGCGCGACGGUAGUUCAGGAAUAAGCACCGGCUAACUCCGUGCCAGCAGCCGCGGUAAUACGGAGGGUGCAAGCGUUGUCCGGAAUCACUGGGUGUAAAGGGUGUGCAGGCGGGGCAACAAGUCGGAUGUGAAACCCCAUGGCUCAACCAUGGAGGUGCAUUCGAAACUGUUGCUCUUGAGUCCCGGAGAGGCUGUCGGAAUUCGUGGUGUAGCGGUGAAAUGCGUAGAUAUCACGAGGAACACCAGAGGCGAAAGCGGGCAGCUGGACGGGUACUGACGCUCAGGCGCGAAAGCGUGGGGAGCAAACAGGAUUAGAUACCC
rnacentral:rRNA from 1 species